GGCGUAUUAGUCUAAACACUGUGGUAAGAUAAGGCCAGUAUCAGAAUGAAAGCAUACAUUGCUUAUACUUAGAAUGAUGGAGAAGGAGAUGUAUCACCACAUUACUGCAUUAUGAAGAGGAACACCCUCCCCACUGGAUUCCACGGGAUUUGUAUCUACUGUGGACUAAUAGCUCUACAGGAUAAGAACUGUUUAUCCCAAUAUGUGAAGUUGUACUAUACAUCUGGGGGAAUACUUCUUGUUAUAUAUUUUUAUGCGCUUUGUCAUAUCUAGUGUGUAAGCCACUUUGGCUCUGAUACGUCUAUCAGAUAAAUUAAUUGUGGGAGUUAA